GGUGGUUUGUUUUUUUACAGCCUUUUGACUGUUCUCCUGAGGAAACUUAGUGUUACUAAAUAGUAGUAGGACUGAAUGACUACACUUGUAUCUAAAACCACCAUUUUUUUUUGUGAGAAGAUUCUUCUGCUGGUAGUCUUAGUAUGACAACAAAAAACAAAACACUGUUGUUAGCUUUAUAGCUCCUUGAAUUUUCAGACUGUUUCAAAGAGCUUUUUCCAUAUAGUAAAGCCACAGUGACAAAAAGCUCUUUUGGGGAAUAGGACUUCAAAAGAACUAUACUCCCUCUGCUUUCUGUAGGGCCAUGAAAGUUUACAUGGUGAGAAAGAACAUACUGGGAAUGGAAACUCAUUUAAUUGUGACUGGCAUUUGUGAACUAGCUGCUGGCAGACAAGCAUAUAUCCUGCUCUAGUGCUGAUUUGUCAUCAGAACUCCUUUAUUGUUAAUGUUGAAAUUAAUUAUUUAAUGUUUACACAAUAACUUUUCUGAUGAUAAAUCAGUAUUAAAGUUAGGGGAGUCCCAUUUUAAUCCUCCAUUUGCAAAUACCAUUCUUUCAGCAACACAGUUGGUAUAGGAACUAUUACUGAAUUAAUUUUCCAAUACUUCAUGGAGUCUAUCCAUAGUGGGGAGUAUUUCGCCCUGGGAACUUUCAAAACAUAGUGAAGAAUGGAGCAUUCUUAAGAUGGUAAAUGAUUUACACAGACUAGUUCAUCCUUUACUAAUAUUUGCCACUGGGUUUGAAAUCCUAGCCAUCUGAAAGGGUAAAGAAGGAAAAACAAUUUUACACCCUUAGGUCUUCAUAUAGUGUUGAGAAUAGCUUAAGACAAACCAUAACCUGCCUGAGUUGUCCAUAUCAGCUUAUAACUAUGUCAAUGGUAUAGAAACACUGUAUUUUAGUUUACAGAACACAUUUAGUAUUUUUUUCCAUUUAAUGUCUAGAUAUAAAAAUGAAGAAACUUGAUUUGUUUUUAGUAGAAGCCUUUUUUGUUUUUUUUUAAUUGUACAUAGUGAAAUGAGUGUUCCUGCUUUCUAGACAAUGUAUUUUAAAACCUUGAAAUUAAGCUAACUUAAGUCUGACUUCACUUUGCAUGCUUCUAUUUGGCCCCUAUUAGAAAAAAAAGAUACUUGUAUUGACUACAUUACCAGUUUAAUAAGACCAUUUAUGCUGUAGUUUUAAGUUUUUCUGUUUACAUAGCUUAGUGACAACCAUGCAUUUUUCCCAGUAGGCGCAUAGUAUUUGCAGUGUUUCAUAUUUAUAAAAAAAAAAAAACUUGCAUCUUAUUUAAAUUGAGAAUAAAAGUUUGACUAUGAAUCA
rnacentral:lncRNA from 1 species